GCAAACUGUGAAAUCAUGGCCUAUCGAUCCUUCAGGUCUA
rnacentral:rRNA from 1 species